ACUUUUUAUGCAUGUUACUUUUCAAUAGUUCUGAAAAUCCUUGCUAGAAACGCAGGAUCUGAGACUUCGUUGCUAUAAGCUGAGGAACUUCCCAUCACCAGAAUAUGCCGUCAUCCUGCAGCCACUGGGUAACAAGGGAAUUGCAGUUAUAUGAGGUGAUACAAUAAGGGGGUUUUCCACUGCUGACCAGGGUAGUUAAGGACGACCAGCCUGUAUCAUACCGGAUAGCCACAGCAAAGCCUGUAUACCAAUGGAUAAUCAAGCCUCAGAGUGUCGCCAAAACUAAUGAGAUGUUUCUUCCUGGGCGAAUGUCAUUUAUUUAUGACAUGGUUGGAUGCAAAGCUCUUUGUGUUGACUGAUAGAUUGAUUAAUUCUUGAAUGAGCCCUAUGAAAGCGUGAUCCAAUGUAACAACUUUGACGGAUCCGAAACAUGAUAUUGUUUCAUGGAGCACAAUUAUCACAGGAUAUGGAAGUCAUGGAAAAGGGGAGAUAGAUGGCUUUAAAGCUGUAUUCGGAUUUUCUAAUUUCAUGGAAUCAACCAAAUCGUGUCAUUUUCCUUUCUGUUCUCUUCUCUUGUAGCCACAAUGGGAUGGUUUCUGAAGGUCUGAGCUUAUUCAAUUCUAUGACUCGGGAUUUUGGAAUUAAACCAGAACUUGAGCAUCGAGCUUGCAUCGUUGAUCUGCUCUGUCGAGCUGGAAAGAUUGGGGAGGCAUAUGAAUUCAUUUGGAAAAUGUUCUCUAACCCUACAACUGAUGUUUUGGGCAUACUUCUCGAUGCAUGUCGGAUGAAGGGUGAUGCUAAACUUGGAGAAAUUGUUGCAAGAGAUAUGAUGAUGCUGAAACCUGCAUGUGCUGGAAAUUAUGUACAACUAGCUCAUAGUUUUGCUGCUAUGAAUAGAUGGGAGGGGGUGAAUGAUGCAUGGACUCAAAUGAAGGCUCUUGGACUUAAAAAACUCCCAGGUUGGAGUCUGAGUUAAUUUGGUGACAGCAGUCUGAGUCAUUCAGUCAUCCUGAAGAUUCAUCUUCCAGCUGCUGUCUGGUACUGCAGACCUGUGUGCCAAUUACCAAGGUCUGGGGUAAAUUUCCCAAUCAAAGUAACAAUAAUUGAACAUAUAGUUGGUUAACUUGUGCAAAUAUAUAGGGAAGAUUUUAUUGUAGAAGUGAUUCUUUGACAGUAAAUCGGUUCACAUUAGAGAUGGGAAAUCGAUGCAGGUGUGAUUGUAUAGCUUCUACGGGUGAUUCUUUCAUCCGUAAUUUCUUCUACAGAUCAACCAUUUCUGCAGGUGUAUUUUCGAGUGUCACAAGUACGUAACUGGGAGGAAAGUCAUG